GCUGCACAGGAAGGGAAUGCUCACAUAUGUUUUAUAUUAUGAGAAUUGCCCAAAGAAAGUACAGUGUAUACUUUUUGCUUGUAGUGUAAUUUGACACGUGAUACACCACAUCAAGUUUCUAGGGCAAAGAAUGCCAUCCUAGUAUGUAUCUGAUAUAAUUAAGGAUGUAUGACUUAAUUACCAGCACAUGGCAGCAGUCUGAAGUGAUACCACUGGAGUGAGAUACAACAUUGUGGCUUUGCUUUCCAUCUAGGGAAUUGCAGUAUGUGCUAAAAAUACUGUUGAGCACAUGGGAAUACAGAGUGUUAUCGCAUACGGAGGGGAAGAAGGAAUGUCAGAUCCACAAGAAGCAACCAUAGAAGAGGGACAACUUAGCACUGAAUGUUCUGAGGAUGAGAAAGCAAUCUGUUUGGAAGCAAAUCAUAAGUAAAAAAAAGCUUACAGGAAGAGUCAUUUAUUAUUUAGCUGUGUUUAAAGUCACUCAUCUCUGGAGAUACAUGGAAGAGGAUGCUGUUUGAUACAGGAGGACUGCGGUGACUCUUGCUCCCCUGCAGCCUGCCAUGUGCCCUGGCUCUGCUGUCCCAACUCUGGGUGGCACACAACGACUGUGAUUUAAGAGAGCAGCAGAAGAGAAAGGUGUUUCUGAAACCUUUUUAGAAAAAUUACCCACGACUCUUUGUGAAAUUCAGAUUACAGAGGGCAGCAUCUGCUGAAUUAUUUAGAUUUGUACAUUCAGGUACUACAAUCAUAUAAUCAGAAGAGAGAGUUACUUGUGAAGGACAAUAAAGUAAUAAACAAAAUGUUCUGGAUAAAUAACUAACCAACAUGAUGAGAUUUCAGCCUUGGAGAGCUAUCGAGCUAAUUCCUGCCCAUUUUACUCAUUUGAGUAGUUUCAUUAAGAGCAAACUGCUUCUUAGUAAAUUGCUAGUUAUAAUAAAAACAAUUAAGCUUGUUGUUUUAGUUCUUCUUGUUCCACAUUUUUAUAAUUCUAGUCAUAACCAUUAAAACUUGUACUUUCAUACUCCCUCUGCUAAACCGCUCAGCUUCCUCGCUCUGUAGGACUCUUUUAGCACAUGCAAAAUAGUUAGAACACGAGUAAAUACAUCCAGAACAGGUGCACAAGAGGGACGAUGCACCUGUCUGCUCACUCUGCCCACAAGAGGUAUGUGGUGCUGCAGAGCUAUGAGAUCCAGAACCCGGGUAAUUCCAUACCAAAAUGUUGACAGCAUCUGAUGCACACAAGAGGUAUGCUGAACAUCCAGAACUGCCUGUCCCACUGAACACAACACCACGAAAAGACAGUAAUCAUU
ensembl:lncRNA